GCAACAUAGCUUUUGUUUUUGUUUUUGAAAGAAAUAAGCUAAUAACUCCGCUUUACCUGGAAGAGGGGGGAAACCUUAAUUCUUUGUCCAGCUUACCUGCUGUGCUGUGAUUUUAAGUAAGGUGUCUACUAUGAAUAAACAGAAAGUAAAGAAGAUGUCUGUCACAAAGGUCGAAGACACAAUGGCUCUGAAAUGGGCAAGAGCAGUAAAUCGUGCAGAGGAGAAGAGGUAUGCCGAGAAGAUCAAAGUCCUCCAAAAAGCAGCGUGUCUAAGCUCCUACGAAAUGGACCGAGAAAAAGCCACACUUCUGAAGUUUCUGGAAAAAGUUCAGAUGACUACAGGGCACCUAAACAAAGACACUCCCUUAUUAAAUUCACACGCAGGAGCACGAAACAACCCGUCAUCCAAAUAACUCCAGACCUACUGGAUACUGCAGCUUCUGCUGAAAUUAUUUCUUUGGUGAUUAGAGAAGUUUCAAACAGAUUAUUUGCUGUGUAGAAAUGCUAAACUGCAUUCCUUGAAGAAUAGGGUUUUAUUGAGAUGGUGAAUUCUGCCUUGGACAUCAGCACCAAUCUAAGUAACUCCGUUUGAAUAAACCAUGGAACAUCCUGGAAAAGGCGAAACAUGAACUCAGCUUUAAAAGAUCUGCCUGAAAUUUGUAGUCUCUGCAAAACUGAUGAAUUAUCUCAAAUUCCUGAGCACAUCACUAAAAUCAAGGCUUUAUUUCAACCAGAACUCACCGCAACUCGGUUGCAACACUUCUUAGGUGGGCGCUAUUACCAUUAUAAGAGAACAAGGGAGACUUUCAUGCUUUGCUGACAUCACAGAAACACGAUCAGUCUCCAGUGAACCUCACCUCAAGGAAACUAAACCCAAGAGAUGUGCAAGACCUGUGAAACCUCUCAUUACUCAAAGACUGGAAUGCGUUUAGCAAUAUAUUCAUUCCCUCUGUGUUGUGCAUUAAUAUAAUGGAAACAGCUUGGCUUGUGGAAUAAAGCUCUUUUAAAACAUUGAGACUUAACUCUAGACAAACCUGUUCAGGAACAAGAGAACAUUUUACACUUAUUUAAAUCGUCAGAAGAGAGUCAGAAUUGGACCACUGGUGUACCAUCUCCUGGAUUCCACUUUGUAUGUUAAAAAAGAUUUACUUCAUAUGAGUAUUUGACCAAGGAUUCUCAAUGCAAAUAAUCUUUAAUAAUAUUGGAGACAAAAACAAAUAUAAAUAGUAGAAUUGGUGGAUGCAAAUACAUGUCAGAGAAAAUUAUUAUCAUCAUCAUCAUUUUUUGAAGUAAACGUGAUUUUGCAAUUCCCAUAUUCAGCACAUAUGCCAGUGUGUGCAGAAGACUCUCUAUCAUGCCUAUAGUUUAGGCCAGGCUAGUUCAAUGCUUAAAUACAUGCCUAAAGCAUUACCCAUAACCUGACAGGAAAUCGCUGAUAUGAGAAUGUUUCUGGCAAGUCUGCCACUCAGAAAACAAGAGCCUAACUAAGUGCCUGGCACUUUGCCACCAAUUCUUCUAAACACUGAGGUUGCAAUAGUUCUCCCACUUAUGCAUGCAUAAUUCCCACUGGCCUCAGUGAUGCUGAAUACAGGAUAGGCAUCUAAGGCCCCAUCUGCACUACUUUAAAGCUGUAUCGUGCCACUUGAAAUGGUCAUGGCUUCCCCCAAUCAAUCCUGGGAAGUCUAGUUGGUUAAGGAUUCUGACAUUUGCUGGGAGACCCCCUAUUCCCUUCAAAGAUCUACAACUCUCAGAGUGGUUUAACCAUCAAUCCCUUUUCCCAGGGAACUCUGGGAGUAUAACUGUGAGGGGAAUAGGAAUCCUCUUAACAACUCUCAACAUCCUUAAAAACACUUCUCUUCUCAGGAUUCUUUGCUGGAAGCCAUGAUUGUCUAAAGUGGUAUUGUACUGCUUUAACUGUAUAGCGCAGAUGUGGCAUUAGAUUCGUAAUUUAAGUCGACACACAGUUCUAUACUGAAGUCAAAGUUUCUUUUCUUAUUAAGUGAUGGGGGAAAGGUUUAAAAGGGGAGUGGAAGAAAUUUUCAGCAUAGCACUUGUUCUUGCAAAUAACUUUACCAGCAUUUAGUCAUCACUGCACUCAAAGAAUCACAUUUGUAUACAGCAUGACUGAUCCUUCAUUUUCUAACGAAAUUUAUGUUAACAUUCACUUUUGGAUAUAAAGCUUUUCGUUUCCCAUCACCACAUUUUGCAACUGACUUAAAUAGGAGCAGGAUUGCACCCAAUAGCUUACAUUGUAGUCUUCUUUGUUUCCAUUUCAUAUGUUAAUAUAGUUUGAUAAAUCAGCUAACACUGUCGAUAUAUAAAAUUGUGGUUGUUUUUUAAAAAAAGAAACGGUAAACAUUUUAACCAGAAGCCACAGAUUUUCUGCACAAAUGUGUUAUUGGUGAAGAUUCUACUCCAGUCUUAAUAUUAAAAUAUCAUGAUGAAUA